rnacentral:rRNA from 1 species
CAUGGGAAGCUUGCUUCCUAUGAAAUCGAGUGGGCAAACGGGUGAGUAAACGCGUAAACAAACCUGCCCUUCGGAUGGGGAUAACAGCCGGAAACGGCUGCUAAUACCGAAUACGAUCUUUUCGUCGCAUGACGGAAAGAAGAAAAAGGAUGGCCUCUAUACAAAGCUAUCGCCGAAGGAGGGGUUUGCGUCUGAUUAGCUGGUUGGAGGGUAACGGCCCAACAAGGCGAUGAUCAGUAGCCGGUCUGAGAGGACGAACGGCCACAUUGGGACUGAGACACGGCCCAGACUCCUACGGGAGGCAGCAGUGGGGAAUCUUCCGCAAUGGACGAAAGUCUGACGGAGCAACGCCGCGUGAGUGAAGAAGGUCUUCGGAUUGUAAAGCUCUGUUAUACGGGACGAAAAAGACGGAUGCCAACAGUAUCCGUCCGUGACGGUACCGUAAGAGAAAGCCACGGCUAACUACGUGCCAGCAGCCGCGGUAAAU